AAAAAUGUAGGCAAGGGAAGUCAGAAAAAUGGUUCCACAACCUCGAGAAAAGGAUUGGCUCUGAAGGCUAGGCACGAGGGUCCCAGUCAUGAACCCGUCGGCUAUCAGUGGACUACUUGAGCUACUUCCGCGGUGAGAGUGGGUUGUCGCGUCUCGUUCGGGGGAUGAAUUGGGAACGGGCCCUUCGGGGCCUCUUCCUCGGGCAUCAAACAGUCAACUCAAAAUUGGUACAAACAAGGGGAAUUCAAUUGUUUAAUUAAAACAAAGCAUUGCGAUGGUCCCUACAGAUGUUGACGCAAUGUGAUUUAUGCCCAGUGCUCUGAAUGUCAAAGUGAAGAAAUACAACCAAGCGCGGGUAAAUGGCAGGAGUAACUAUGACUCUCUUAAGGCAGCCAAAUGCCUCGUCAUAUAAUUAAUGACACGCAUUGUAAUGACCCACCUCGUCGCUACGAU
rnacentral:rRNA from 1 species